rnacentral:rRNA from 1 species
CCUACGGGAGGCAGCAGUGGGGCAUAUUGCAAAAUGGGGGAAACCCUGAUGCAGCGACGCCGCGUGAGUGAAGAAGUAUUUCGGUAUGUAAAGCUCUAUCAGCAGGGAAGAAAUAGCGACCUUUGGGUCGCCAGACGGUACCUGACUACGAAGCCCCGGCUAACGACGUGCCAGCAGCCGCGGUAAUACGUAGGGGGAAAGCGUUAUCCGGAUUUACUGGGUGUAAAGGGAGCGUAGACGGCAGCACAAGUCUGAAGUGAAAUGCCGGGGCUUAACCCCGGAACUGCUUUGGAAACUGUGCAGCUAGAGUGCAGGAGAGGUAAGUGGAAUUCCUAGUGUAGCGGUGAAAUGCGUAGAUAUUAGGAGGAACACCAGUGGCGAAGGCGGCUUACUGGACUGUAACUGACGUUGAGGCUCGAAAGCGUGGGGAGCAAACAGGAUUAGAUACCCGGGUAGUC